rnacentral:rRNA from 1 species
CCUACGGGAGGCAGCAGUAGGGAAUAUUGGGCAAUGGGCGAAAGCCUGACCCAGCCACGCCGCGUGCAGGAAGACGGCCCUCUGGGUUGUAAACUGCUUUUGACUGGGAAGAAAGAAGCUCAUGCGUGAGAAGUUGACGGUACCAGUCGAAUAAGCCACGGCUAACUACGUGCCAGCAGCCGCGGUAAUACGUAGGUGGCAAGCGUUAUCCGGAUUUAUUGGGUUUAAAGGGAGCGUAGGCGGCUUAAUAAGUCAGUGGUUAAAGGUAGCAGCUUAACUGUUUUACAUGCCACUGAUACUGUUGAGCUUGAGUUGACAGAAGGCAGAUAGAAUUUCUGGUGUAGCGGUGAAAUGCUUAGAUACCAGAAGGAAUACCGAUUGCGAAGGCAGUCUGCUGCAGUCACACUGACGCUGAGGCUCGAAGGUGCGGGGGAUCAAACAGGAUUAGAUACCCUGGUAGUCCGCACAGUAAACGAUGAUUACUAGAUGUUGGCCAAGCCAGUGUCCAAGGGAAACCGAUAAGUAAUCCACCUGGGGAGUACGCCGGCAACGGUGAAACUCAAAGGAAUUGACGGCGNGAGAGNGCGAGACGACGACGAGGGAGGAGG